UUCCUCUGCAGCCUGAAGAAGCUCCUAAGGCGCCUCCUCUUCAGGACCAGGACAAGUCUGAAAACCACUGGUCUAGGAGAUGGCAGGGAAAUCUGUACUGUUCUGCUGCUUUCUGGAAACAAUCAUAAGGAUGAAAAAGGAACUGAACUUUCUGAAAUAGCUACAUAAAACUUCACGGAGGAACCACAAUCAGAACAAGAAGAGGUAAUGUCAGCUGAACACAGAAGAAUUGAUGCUUUUGAACUGUGGUGUUGGAG